rnacentral:sRNA from 2 species
UGCCCAUUGUUGGCUUUGGGCUGUGGAAGGUCAAUAAAAACAGCUGCUGGUUACCGCCUGUUAGAUGGUGCUUAUGACUACGGGGAACGACGCUGAGGCUGGAAAGUGAGCGGCUCGGGCCAUUCAAGUGGCAUUGUGAGGCGCAAGGAGCUGUUCGUUUCGUCGUGUCAAAGCUCUGGCAGGCUUAUCAUAAUUCUAAGCAAGUUGAACAUGUUGCGCGGAAACAGUUAGCUGACUGGAGCAUUGACUACUUCGACCUCUACAUUGUACACUUCCCCAGGCUAGUUUAGUGAAGGUGAAAGUUCGAUCAUUCUCAGUGGUACCACGAUCCAGCAAGCCAUGGAGGAGCUGGUUGACAAAGAACUGUCUCGUAGCAUCGGAAUCAGACAUCCAGCUCAUCAUGGACCCGCUGCGCUAUGCGCGAAUCAAGCCUGCCGCUCUCCAGAUCGAGCAUCACUCUGAGUAUACUUUACCCAAUGUCUCUUAGUGAAUUUCGCUCGAGAGAAUGGUAUUGCUGUUACCGCCUAUUCUUCGUUCGCCAACACAAGCUUUCUUGAGCUCAACAUGCAAAUCGCCAGGAACGUCCCGCUGCUACUUUCUCACCCCAUUAUUACGCCCAUUGCUCGGAAGCAUGACAGAACAUCUGCCCAGGUCGUCCUCCGUUGGGCCACACAACGAGGUAUCGCUAUCAUCCCUAAGAGCAACUCUAAAACCCGUCUCCUUGGGAAUCUACGUGUCAAUGAUUUCGGCCUUGAGCAAAACGAAAUCGACGGAAUCAGUGCCUUCAACAGGAAUCUUAGGUUCCACAAUCCCCUAAAAUAACUACGGGAUCCCAUUACCAAUCUUCGCUUAAAUGGCCAUACCUAUAGAGGUUCUCAAUGUGGCCGUUUUUUCCCCUCCAUAAUGAGUAGUAUGACCUCGAAAGCAGCCACAUAAUUUUAUCCAAACAGAUAUAUAUAUCUAUUAAGGUAUAUAUUUAUUGAUUGUUUUGCCAUUCUGGGAUGGGCUAUAAUAAACAAAAUAAUAUAGAUAAUUCGUUCAUCCAUCCUCAUCCUCGCCAGCAUCAACAUUAAAUUUCUUACGUCGAGACCCUGCACCUGCAAGAUUUUUCAGAUUCACCAGAUUCACCUGAGCAUCCAUCUUCUUCUCAAUGUUUUGAAUCUCCUUCUCAGGAUCAAUAGCUUCCGAGGACGCAAACUCCAACACCAGCCGCCUACCCAGAAGAUGGGUAUUCUUCAGCGCGUCCAUGGCAUUUUCCGCCUCGCGCGCACUUAUGAAAUCAGCAAACGCGAAACCACGAGCCGUCCUGUCAAAUUUCUGCGGGACGCGGACAGACCGGAGUUUGCCAUAUGCGCUGAAGAGGUUUCUGAUGUCUUUCUUCGUGGCUUGGAAUGGCAAGUUUUUGAUAAGGAUCUUUGUUCCCCGCAUGGCUAACUUCUUCGCAUUAUCCUCGCGCCUUCGUUCUUCAGCAGCGUCCAUGGCUUUGUGCGAGGUCUUGACGACGAGUUCGUGUUGAUCCAGCUUGUAGCCUUGCAUCGUGGCGAGUGCGGCGUGAGCUUGAGCAGCUGUGCGGAACUCCACGAAUCCAAAACCCAUGCUAAGCGUUUCUCCUGGCCGCUUUGGGUCGGCUUUUGUUUUCACCCUAGCGGACAGGAAUCCAUCCAGUGGUUGGAACACCUCUGUCAGACGGGCAUUUGUUGUUGAAAAGUUAAGAUUUCGAACGAAGAGAGUGGAUGUCUCCAGCGGAGUCUCGGCUUCUUCCGUUUCAGUCGCCUUGAAAGUAUCCGAAGUUGAGAAUGUUUGCGAGACCACCUUUGGAGGAGGUGCUAUAACCCUUGAAGCAGUCGCUUUCUCAUCGAAUAGGUCUUUAGGAGCUCUUUCCAGAAACAGAAUUAAAUCACCUAGUUUUCGAUAAGCGAGUCCCUUGAAUGCCUUUUGGCACUCAUCCGCCAUGACGAACUCAACGAUGGCUAUCGUGCCACUCGGGGGCAUUAAGAGUCUUUUGAUUUGUCCAAACGGUUCAAAUAGCUUUCUUAUAUCGUCAGCUUUUACACCAAAGGAGAAAUUCUUAACUAGGAUUGCGGUAUUUCCACGUUCCCGUUGCUUGAACGAAUCCAGGUUCACUCCAUUAGAUGAGAAGUAGGCUUUUGUUUCUUGGAUCACAUGCGUUUCAGCAUGGGCUUGCCUGAUUGCUGCGUCAGAGGACGUGGGGUCAAGAAGCUCGGAUUUCGAAACUCCAAGCCUUUCGGAUACUGAUGACAUAACUGCAUCAGCCUAGGAAAAGGAGUUAGAUCAUUGAAUUAAUCUGGACGCGAAAAUAACAUGUAACACACAUUCAUGUAUAAAGAGUUCCAACUGAAAUUUGAUGAUGCCGCUUCUUGUCUUCGUUUGAUCUGCUGCUGUUUUUUCAAAGGCAAUUUUGAAAGCUCAUAUUCGUCUAGUUUGUACGUUUUCUUUGACGAGGCCGGUAAGAUAUGCAAAAGACGGCCUUGGAAUACUUUCCCAUCUAGUGCUUUGUAAGCCUGAAUGGCCGCCUCGGGGUUUGCGUACUGUACGUAAGCAAAGCCUUUGCUUUUGGAAUGUCGCGUAUCAAACGCAACAUGAAUCUAUUCAUCGGUCAGCAUUGGGUAGAUUUUGGAAAAGCAAGGCGAGUGAGGGCUUCAGAUAGUUGUCACGAUAGGCUCAGAUAACAAGAGGCAUCUACUAAAAUUCUCUUUCCAGGUAACAUCACAUGCAUAGCAUAAGCUGUCCCUAUCUGGAUGAUCAUCAUUGGGGCCUGAAGUGCAGAGAGGUUGCACAUAGAAUGAGAAAGAGAGUAUUGACGUAACGAAACAGCGCUCUUACCUCAUCGAUCUUUCCGAAUGGAGAAAAUAGUGGCUCCAUGUCACUCUCACUAGCAUUAUAGAGAAGAUUUCGAACAAAAAGCCGACCAGUUUCACGGAGUUGACCUAUAUUCGCGUCAAAGGAUUCGUUCUGAUCGGGUGGAUUGGGUGGUUCGUUUUGAAUAGGUGGCGAAGUUUCCUGCGCUUUCCGUUUCCUUGCGUUUUCAAUGUCCCUAUCAUAGUUUUCUUCAAUUUCCUGUAUUUCAGUAGUCUCGUGAGAUCCCUCGUCUUCAUCAUCUUCAACCAGGCCAAGAAGUCGACUCGUUCUCGAUCGCAACCAAUCCAUAUCGGAUUUUGGUGCCUCUUCAACAGACGUGGCCUCAGGUUCAUCUUCAGUCUCGAAAGACACAGACUUCUUUGCUACGGAAUUAUCUUCAGUUACAUCAUCCAGUCGCUCCGUCUGCUUGGUUUUAAGAGUGGGCUCAUGGCCAGGCUUCAGGCGCUUGGCUUUGAUGCUGGGUGUUUCAGUAUUGCCAGA